AGAGUUUGAUCCUGGCUCAGGACAAACGCUGGCGGGGUGCAUGAGACAUGCAAGUCGAACGGGGUUGAUCGGGCUUGCUCGAUCAACCUAGUGGCGAACGGCUGAGUAACGCGUAGGUGACCUACCCGGAAGUGGGGAAUAACUGCCCGAAAGGGUGGCUAAUACCGCAUGUGGUCGGCGAAUCAGAUCGCCGUCCAAAGCCGAAAGGCGCUUCCGGAGGGGCCUGCGUCCGAUUAGCUAGUUGGCGAGGUAACGGCUCACCAAGGCGACGAUCGGUAGCUGGUCUGAGAGGAUGAUCAGCCAGACUGGGACUGAGAACGGCCCAGACUCCUACGGGAGGCAGCAGUCGGGAAUUUUGCCCAAUGGACGAAAGUCUGAGGCAGCAACUCCGCGUGAGGGAUGAAGGCUUUCGGGUCGUAAACCUCUUUUCCCAGGGAAGAUCCAAGACGGUACCUGGGGAAUAAGCCACGGCUAACUACGUGCCAGCAGCCGCGGUAAUACGUAGGUGGCGAGCGUUGUCCGGAUUUACUGGGCGUAAAGCGCGCGCAGGCGGCUGUUCAAGUCCGAUGUGAAAUCUUCCGGCUUAACUGGAAAACGGCAUUGGAUACUGGACGGCUGGAAGGUGGGAGAGGGUAGCGGAAUUCCCGGUGUAGUGGUGAAAUGCGUAGAUAUCGGGAGGAACACCAGUGGCGAAAGCGGCUACCUGGCCCACUCUUGACGCUGAGGCGCGAAAGCUAGGGGAGCAAACGGGAUUAGAUACCCCGGUAGUCCUAGCCGUAAACGAUGAACACUAGGCGUUGUCGGUAUCGACCCCGGCAGUGCCGAAGCUAACGCAUUAAGUGUUCCGCCUGGGGAGUACGGCCGCAAGGCUAAAACUCAAAGGAAUUGACGGGGGCCCGCACAAGCAGCGGAGCGUGUGGUUCAAUUCGUCGAAACGCGAAGAACCUUACCAGGGCUUGACAUGUAUCGGUAAGCGGCGGAAACGUCGCCGACCUGAAAGGGACCGAUAUGCAGGUGUUGCAUGGCUGUCGUCAGCUCGUGUCGUGAGAUGUUGGGUUAAGUCCCGCAACGAGCGCAACCCCCGUGGCAUGUUGUAUCACUCAUGCCAGACUGCCGAGAGAAACUCGGAGGAAGGUGGGGAUGACGUCAAGUCAGCAUGGCCCUUACGCCCUGGGCUACACACACGCUACAAUGGCC
rnacentral:rRNA from 1 species